rnacentral:misc_RNA from 1 species
CCGUCCACCACCGCUGCUCCUGCU